rnacentral:lncRNA from 1 species
CUGGAAUGCAGUGGCGCGAUCUUGGCUCACUGCAACCUCUGACUCUCUGGUUCAGGUGAUUCUCUUGCCUCAGCCUCCCAAGUAGCUGGGAUUACAGGCACGUGCCACCACACCCAGAUAAUUUUUGUAUCUUUUUUUUUUAGUGGAGACAGGGUUUCACCAUGUUGGUGCGGAUGGUCUUGAUCUCCUGACCUCGUGAUCCUCCCGCCUCAGCCUCCCAAAGUGCUGGGAUUACAGGUGUGAGCCACCGCACCCGGCACAAUGUGAUUUUUUAAACUGGAAGGUACUAUAUAGGUGGGUGGGAUCACUGCUUUGUCAGUCCUGUUGCAGGGAUGGGAUGGGGGCAGGGCAGCCAGAUGAGAUUCUAGAAAAAAAAUAGAACCCCUUCCUCCCAAUCCCCACAUAUUUAUACAGUCCUCUGCAGUUUACAAUGCACUUUCACACUCUGUAUUUCUUGUUCCUUACAACAACUUUGCAAGCCAGGUCAAGGCAGGCAUUAUUAAAUCCCAUGUUUUAGGGGAAGAAGAAGCUCAAAGAGGAUAAAUGACUUGCCGAGGGUUAGUGAGCCCAGUUAGUGGGUGAGCUAAGGCUGGAAUUUGGUUCUUUCUGAUACCCAGGCCUGAUGCUGUUUCCCUGCUUCUACACACCAGAGCCCCUCUGUCCCUGCUCUGGUCUGGAUGACAUUGCUCCCACCCCCCUGGGGCUCCCAUCCCAUAAUGGAUGCAGUACCUUCCCCAGUCCACGUACCUUCAUUAUGACAACUCAUGACCACUUUUGGUUACAAUAAUGUCCGAAAGUAGCCAUGAGAACAGAGAGAGCACUGUAGGUUUAAGAGUGUUCAAUGGAAAGAGGAGACCAAGCUGAGAUUUCCCAAGGGCUCUCACCCAAAAUUGGUAGGCCAGCUGAUAAAUUAGUAUGAUAAGGAGAGAAGGAGAAAACUGAAGAGAGGGGAAGGAAAGAGAAGAAAAGGCAAUAAAGAAAGAGAUAAAAAGAAAGAAAGGAAGAAAGAAAGAAAAGAAGGAAAGAAAGAGGAAAGAAGGAAGGGAAAGAAAGAAAAGGAGAAAGAAAUGGAAGUUGGGUGAAGAGCAUGAUGAGGGAGUAAGGGAAAGGCGAAAAUAAAAAAGAGUGGGAGUAAGACAGAAAGGAAUCCAGGAGAGAUAAGGAAAGAGAGAAAAGGGGAAGGAGGGAGGCCAAAGAGGCUGGGGAGGGUGCUGGGGGGAGGGCCAGCUCCACUCUGGCAAGGGGUGCGAGAUUGAAGGCUGAAUCGCAGCAGGCAGUGAAGGAGAGGAAUAAGUCAUAAACGCUGCAGGGGCAAAGGUCAAAUAUAGACUGAUGGCUCCAUUGUUUCCCAGCCGGUGAGGAGGACCCUGUUGGGGGCUGCUGAGAUGCUUAACCCUUCCCUGCCCAGCCCUUUGAUGGUGAGGCAGGUGUGGGAAUGCACAGUGAGAAAAGCACCUGUGUGUCCAGGAGAUUUCCUAGGGAAGAAGGAAGUUCUUGGGAAAUGAUUGAGUAACACCUAUCAACA